rnacentral:rRNA from 1 species
UACGAAGGGGACUAGCGUUGUUCGGAAUCACUGGGCGUAAAGCGCACGUAGGCGGAUGUGUCAGUCAGGGGUGAAAUCCCGGGGCUCAACUCCAGAACUGCCUUUGAUACUGGGGAGCUCGAGUCCGGAAGAGGUGAGUGGAACUCCGAGUGUAGAGGUGAAAUUCGUAGAUAUUCGGAAGAACACCAGUGGCGAAGGCGGCUCACUGGUCCGGUACUGACGCUGAGGUGCGAAAGCGUGGGGAGCAAACAGG